UUUGUUGGUUAUGGAUCAAACUCUCACGCCUAUAGAGUCUACAACAAAUCCAAUGGAUGUGUUGUAGAAACUUGUGACGUGGUGUUUGAUGAAUUUAAUGGCUCCCAUGGGGAGCAAGUUGAUCUAAGUGAUGUAGGUGAAGAAGAUUCUUCUCAAGACAUUUUGAAGAUGGGUGUUGGUGCACUUCUUCCUAUGGAACAAGAACCUCAUGAUGAUGACGAAGAAGAUGGAGAUCUCACGCAUCAUCAAACUACUUCAACAUCCAUACCAACACAAGUUCCUAUUGUUCAACCUAUACCCUUAGCUCAUGUUGAUGAGGCU
rnacentral:rRNA from 1 species